rnacentral:rRNA from 1 species
GAGUUUGAUCGUGGCUCAGAUUGAACGCUGGCGGCAUGCCUUACACAUGCAAGUCGAACGGCAGCAUGAUCUAGCUUGCUAGAUUGAUGGCGAGUGGCGAACGGGUGAGUAAUACAUCGGAACGUGCCCUGUAGUGGGGAUAACUAGUCGAAAGAUUAGCUAAUACCGCAUACGACCUGAGGGUGAAAGUGGGGGACCGCAAGGCCUCAUGCUAUAGGAGCGGCCGAUGUCUGAUUAGCUAGUUGGUGGGGUAAAGGCCCACCAAGGCGACGAUCAGUAGCUGGUCUGAGAGGACGAUCAGCCACACUGGGACUGAGACACGGCCCAGACUCCUACGGGAGGCAGCAGUGGGGAAUUUUGGACAAUGGGCGAAAGCCUGAUCCAGCAAUGCCGCGUGUGUGAAGAAGGCCU